UACGGGGGAGCAAGCGUUGUUCGGAUUUACUGGGCGUAAAGGGCGCGUAGGCGGCCACCGCAAGUCACUUGUGAAAUCUCCGGGCUUAACCCGGAAAGGUCAACUGAUACUGCGGGGCUAGAGUGCAGAAGGGGCAACUGGAAUUCUCGGUGUAGCGGUGAAAUGCGUAGAUAUCGAGAGGAACACCUGCGGCGAAGGCGGGUUGCUGGGCUGACACUGACGCUGAGGCGCGAAAGCCAGGGGAGCGAACGGG
rnacentral:rRNA from 1 species